rnacentral:tRNA from 2 species
AUUUAGAUAGUUUAAUAAAAAUUUUGAUUUGUGAUAUCAAAGAUGAAUAAUUUUCUCUAAAUU